UUCUUUGGAGGUUCCUGCCCGGGUUGGUCCCAAAACGGAGCUUGUGUAUGUUGACUAGUGUCUUCGAAACUACCGUGAAAGAAAAAACCCAAAACUGUUAUACUCUUACGGAAGCUUAUAGGAAGAAAUCGUAUACAAUCGCAAGUGAAAACAUCAACAACGCCGGAGAUGGAGACAUCGGAAUCACCUUCACAUCUUUCUCCUGCUAUUAGUUCACAACGCCAUUUCUAUCUCGCCGUUGACAGAAUCCACUACAAAAUGGAGACCUUGGUGGAUCUGUUAGGUAUGGCAGGGCGGCGUCCGUGGCUGCCAAUGGUGGUGUGUUGUAGCACGCGCGAUGAGCUUGAUGCGGUUUGCUCUGCGGUCUCCAACAUUUCCUACAUUUGUGUUACACCGCUGUACAGUGACCUUGCUGAAUCAGAACGCGCAUUGAUUUUAGAUAAGUUUCGUCAUGUGACGAUGAAGUGGAAGCAAAACACUGCUGUACAAUCUGGACAGGAAGAAUGUGAAAAGGAAGAACAAAAGUCUCAUAUGAUAGUUGCAACUGAUGCUUGUCUUCCUCUUUCUGCUUCAGGAGAAUCUCCCAUCAGUUCUAGUGUUUUGAUAAAUUAUGAGUUACCGACAAAAAAGGAAACGUACACAAGGCGAAUGACAACUUGUUUGGCUGCAGAUGGGAUUGUGAUCAACAUGGUUGUUGGGGGUGAAGUGGUGACUCUUAAAAACAUCGAGGAAAGCAGCAGCCUUGUGAUUGCAGAAAUGCCCAUAAACAUUUUUGAAAUGUUUUAGAGACCUAUUUCUUGAAGCGCGGGAAAAAGUUCGUAGGGACCACCUGACUUAGUUCAAUGUGCUCUUUCUGCAUCAGGUUAUAGACCGAUUUUUGCAAGGUUUUUUCAUAAUGUAAUUUGUUUCCAACAGUGAGCUCAAUUGAUGGUUAAGUGGUAUGAAGGAGGUUGAGGGUGGUGGCAAAAAGGAGUGAAGGGGUGGUGGUCAUAGUUGUGUGGGAUGGUCAUGGUGGUGGUUGGUGACCAGUGUUGAUCUUAGGUGAACAUGCCAUCAGUUUAGGGGUAUUCUAAAAAAAAUUGGACCUAGGAGUAUCCUAAUAUUUGCUCAAGGGGUAUUCGAUUCAUAUUCAUAAAACGGAGAAGAAUAAAGAAAAAAUUGAAUUUUGCACUUCACCGACAAAGUUGAAGGGUAGCCUGGGCUACCCCUUAAGCCUAUACUAGAUCGGCCCAUGGGUGCCAGAUAUGAUACUAUGGUGGUUAUGAGAAGUGGUUUGUAGUGCCAUAUACGGGUUUAGAAAACAUGUUUUUGCUAGGGUUUGGUGAGACGUGACAUGCGGCCGACUAGAGUUGUUUUGUAGAGUGGGUUGUGCAUGCUAGGGUUUCAUAUAGUUGUUUUGUGACUAAAUGUUGAUGAGGUUAUGCUCUUUUAGCUAGGUUUCCAACGAGUUGUGUGACCCGUGGUGGCAGCUAUGGUUUAGUACCAACUUGGCUGAUGGCUAUGAUAUCAACUUAAAUCUAACAAGGCAAAUGCAUAUGCAUUCUAUAUAGGUUCUUUGUAUAGAGAACAAUAUAACACUUUGAUACCUUUGUAUUAUAUAAUAUUUAUAUAACUAAUCUAAUACUUGCA